rnacentral:snoRNA from 1 species
GUCCCGUAAUGUGGACACUUUCGCAGCAUAUUUUUGAACCUAUUCCAGGCUUCAUCAAAAUUCUCUGAAUCGUCUUAACAAAAACAGAUAUGUCAUGCUUGAGCUU